UCCGGUUUGGCACCGGCAGUCCAUCCAGAGUCCCCGCCCGGAUCGCUCCUGCGCUGGCAACUGGAUGCGGGGGUUGCGCUCGUUGCGGGACUUAACCCAACAUCUCACGACACGAGCUGACGACAGCCAUGCAGCACCUGUGCACGGACUCCGAAGAGGGGCCCUGGUUUCUCAGGGCUUUCCCGUGCAUGUCAAGCCUAGGUAAGGUUCUUCGCGUUGCGUCGAAUUAAACCACAUGCUCCACCGCUUGUGCGGGCCCCCGUCAAUUCCUUUGAGUUUCAGCCUUGCGGCCGUACUCCCCAGGCGGGGCACUUAAUGCGUUAGCGCCGGCACCCAAGGGGUCGCUCCCUCAAGCACCUAGUGCCCAUCGUUUACGGCGUGGACUAC
rnacentral:misc_RNA from 1 species